GCGAGCGCAGGUGGUUUAUUAAGUCUGGUGUAAAAGGCAGUGGCUCAACCAUUGUAUGCAUUGGAAACUGGUAGACUUGAGUGCAGGAGAGGAGAGUGGAAUUCCAUGUGUAGCGGUGAAAUGCGUAGAUAUAUGGAGGAACACCGGUGGCGAAAGCGGCUCUCUGGCCUGUAACUGACACUGAGGCUCG
rnacentral:rRNA from 1 species